CCAGGUGAGCCCCAGGUGUGAUGGUUUUCAGCAGUCCAGGUGAGCCCCUCCAUGCCAGGUGAGCCCCAGCAGCCCAGGUGUGAGGAAUCCCAGGUGUGAGGGUUUCCCAGAUGUGACAGGUCCCGGUCCAGGUAAGCCCCAGGUGAGCCCCAGCAGGCCAGGUGUGAAGAGUCCCGAGGUGUGAGGGGUCCCCAGAUGUGAAGGGUUCCAGGUGUGACAGGUCUCAGGCCAGGUGAGUCUCAGCAAUCCAGGUGUGACAGGUCCCAGGUGUGAGGGUUUCCCAGGUGUAACAGCUCCCAGUCCAGGUGAGCCCCAGGUGAGCCCCUGCAGCCCAGGUGUGAGGAAUUCCCAGGUGUGAGGGUUCCCCAGGUGUGAGGAGUCCCAGGUGUGAGGCUUUCCCAGGUGUAACAGGUCCCAGUCCAGGUGAGCCCCAGUAGCCCAGGUGAGCCCCACCCUGCUGGCCAGGUGAGCUCCAGGUGAGCUCCAGGUGAGCCCCAGUAGCUCAGGUGUGACAGGUCCCAGGU